rnacentral:rRNA from 1 species
UACGAAGGGGGCUAGCGUUGCUCGGAAUCACUGGGCGUAAAGGGUGCGUAGGCGGGUCUUUUAAGUCAGGGGUGAAAUCCUGGAGCUCAACUCCAGAACUGCCUUUGAUACUGAGGAUCUUGAGUUCGGGAGAGGUGAGUGGAACUGCGAGUGUAGAGGUGAAAUUCGUAGAUAUUCGCAAGAACACCAGUGGCGAAGGCGGCUCACUGGCCCGAUACUGACGCUGAGGCACGAAAGCGUGGGGAGCAAACCGG